CCUACGGGGGGCUGCAGUGGGGAAUAUUGCACAAUGGGCGCAAGCCUGAUGCAGCCAUGCCGCGUGUGUGAAGAAGGCCUUCGGGUUGUAAAGCACUUUCAGCGGGGAGGAAGGCGGUGAGGUUAAUAACCUCAUCGAUUGACGUUACCCGCAGAAGAAGCACCGGCUAACUCCGUGCCAGCAGCCGCGGUAAUACGGAGGGUGCAAGCGUUAAUCGGAAUUACUGGGCGUAAAGCGCACGCAGGCGGUCUGUCAAGUCGGAUGUGAAAUCCCCGGGCUCAACCUGGGAACUGCAUUCGAAACUGGCGGGCUAGAGUCUUGUAGAGGGGGGUAGAAUUCCAGGUGUAGCGGUGAAAUGCGUAGAGAUCUGGAGGAAUACCGGUGGCGAAGGCGGCCCCCUGGACAAAGACUGACGCUCAGGUGCGAAAGCGUGGGGAGCAAACAGGAUUAGAUACCCGAGUAGUC
rnacentral:rRNA from 1 species